rnacentral:tRNA from 1 species
AGCACUGUAGCUCAGUGGCAGAGCAUCUGUCUAGUAUGCAAAAGGUCCCAGGUUCAAUCCCCAGCACCUCCAGGUAGGGCUA